GUCCCUGUGGCUCAGUUGGUAGAGCAUGGUUUGUGCACCGCCAGGGUUGUGGGUUUGAUUCCCACGGGGGGCC
rnacentral:tRNA from 1 species